rnacentral:rRNA from 1 species
UACGUAGGGGGCAAGCGUUGUCCGGAAUUAUUGGGCGUAAAGAGCGCGUAGGCGGUCCGAUAAGUCGGCUGUGAAAGUCAGGGGCUCAACCCUUGAAAGCCGGCCGAUACUGUCGGACUAGAGUCCGGAAGAGGCGAGUGGAAUUCCCGGUGUAGCGGUGAAAUGCGCAGAUAUCGGGAGGAACACCAAUGGCGAAGGCAGCUCGCUGGGACGGUACUGACGCUGAGGCGCGAAAGCUGCGG